AAGAAAGAUUAAUACCCGAUGGCAUAGUUCUUCCGCAUGGUAGAACUAUUAAAGAAUUUCGGUCAUCGAUGGGGAUGCGUUCCAUUAGGUUGUUGGCGGGGUAACGGCCCACCAAGCCUUCGAUGGAUAGGGGUUCUGAGAGGAAGGUCCCCCACAUUGGAACUGAGACACGGUCCAAACUCCUACGGGAGGCAGCAGUGAGGAAUAUUGGUCAAUGGACGAGAGUCUGAACCAGCCAAGUAGCGUGAAGGAUGACUGCCCUAUGGGUUGUAAACUUCUUUUAUACGGGAAUAAAGUGAGGCACGUGUGCCUUUUUGUAUGUACCGUAUGAAUAAGGAUCGGCUAACUCCGUGCCAGCAGCCGCGGUAAUACGGAGGAUCCGAGCGUUAUCCGGAUUUAUUGGGUUUAAAGGGAGCGUAGGCGGACGCUUAAGUCAGUUGUGAAAGUUUGCGGCUCAACCGUAAAAUUGCAGUUGAUACUGGGUGUCUUGAGUACAGUAGAGGCAGGCGGAAUUCGUGGUGUAGCGGUGAAAUGCUUAGAUAUCACGAAGAACUCCGAUUGCGAAGGCAGCCUGCUGGACUGUAACUGACGCUGAUGCUCGAAAGUGUGGGUAUCAAACAGGAUUAGAUACCCUGGUAGUCCACACAGUAAACGAUGAAUACUCGCUGUUUGCGAUAUACAGUAAGCGGCCAAGCGAAAGCGUUAAGUAUUCCACCUGGGGAGUACGCCGGCAACGGUGCAACUCAAAUGAAUUGACGG
rnacentral:rRNA from 1 species